rnacentral:lncRNA from 1 species
GUAAGUUCAGCUGGGUUGAUUGAGUGAGUACUUUCCUUUUUGAGUUUUUCUUUCACAAUCUACUCAUUAUUCCAAAACAAAGAAAGCACCGGGCGAUGUGAAAAUGUGUGAUUACAGUGAAGCCAACCCUUGUUACGGCUGGUGCACAUUUUCAUCUGGUUGACUGAGUCUUAUCCCCUUUAAAACUCCAGUCCACAUUUUGGAUCUGGUGCUUUUUGAUGUUAGUGUUUUAACUAAUCCAUCUCAGAAAUGAGUAAAGUCAAGGUGCCUAUAGUGCUUCCAUGUCUUGGUGCUUAGUUACCACAAUUUCCAAUUCGUCUAUGCAAAACCAAUCACCUAUUCACCUCAGUCAAUACUCAAUCUACAAACUUUAUGAUUUUUAAUACAAAUCACCUUUUAAAUGCCGAGUCUUGGUUCACUUUUAAUGCACAGAAAUCACCUAUUAUGAAUUUUUAUGUACUUGCAGGCUUGUUGCAUAGAAUAUAUAAUCUUGGAAGGUGACAACCUGUCUUCGCUAUUCCCAAAUGCACACCUGAACUUGGGUGGAUAUGAGUUAAAUGCUCACGUUUUGUUUGCGAUUCUGACCACCCUUGCUGUUCUACCUACUGUUUGGCUUCGAGACCUCAGCGUUCUUAGUUAUAUCUCAGGUGAGUUUUAACUAAGCCAAUUUCAUGUUCAACUACUGCACUGAAUCUUUUGAAAACUUCUGACAUUAUGCUUCUUCGGUUCCAGCUGGUGGAGUUAUUGCGUCGAUUAUGGUAGUUCUUUGCUUGUUUUGGGUUGGUCUUGUAGAUGGUGUCGGCUUUGAGAGCAAAGGGACUCCACUGAACCUUGCAACUCUUCCUGUUGCUAUGGGUCUCUAUGGUUACUGCUACUCAGGACAUGCUGUAUUCCCAAACAUUUAUACUUCACUGGAAAAACCAAACCAAUACCCUUUAAUUCUCUUAACAUGGUAACAGAAAAUUCACCUUUCACAAAAUUUCCUAUCCUUGCAUCAUUUUAUAUUAAUUGAUCUGUUAUUUUCCAUGUAGCUUUUGCAUAUGUACUAUCAUGUAUGCUGGAGUUGCUGUCAUGGGUUACACAAUGUUUGGAGAAGCAACAUUGUCACAGUUUACUCUAAACAUGCCUCACGAUUUGGUUGCCACAAAGAUUGCUGUGUGGACUACGGUAUUUGAUAAUAAUUUUUUUUGAUAUUGAUGUUUAUCGUAUGUGUUUCGAGAGGAAAAGUAGUGGUUGCUAACGUAAAAUCUGUUUUUGCAGGUAGUCAACCCAUUUACCAAAUAUCCUUUUUUGCAAGCUAUGCAGAUAAUGUGUGUUAAGUGUUAACUGAUGCACCAGCAUGCACACACAGACACUCAUAUAUGACACAUUGACACUGCAGUUGAUCGUUCAAGUGGACUGAUAUAUCAGGAGAAAAAAACACGUUCUCCUGAAAUGCAUGACGAACUGAAAUUGAAAUACAUCACAGACAUGAAUAAAAAAGGAAAAUAUAGAAAGAAAAAAAAACUCUUAUUCUCCUUAAUUAGAACCACAUAUGCAUUAACUAUGUCUCCCGUGGCAAUGAGUCUGGAGGAGCUGGUACCGUCAGACAAGUCUCGCAUGUACUCUAUCUUUAUUAGAACAGGGCUGGUGUUCUCUACCCUGGUUGUUGGUCUCUGCAUACCUUUCUUUGGUAAUCUCCCUUGAACAUUCUUCAUUGCCUUUGCUAUUCCAUUAGUACACAACAGCUUCAAUAGUAUCAACUUGUUGCAGGUCUCAUGAUGUCGUUGAUCGGAUCUUUAUUCACAAUGCUUGUAGUAAGUUGAUUUCUGUUUGCAAUCUAACCACUUUGUCUCUUCUAGUGGCAGCAACUCUUUUCACUAACCAAGUAUAUUUACUGCAGGCCUUGAUACUUCCUUGUGCUUGUUAUCUGACUAUCCGUAAGGAACAAGUAACUCGUUUUCAGGUAAAUGUGUUACUUGCAGACAAGAAACAGAAACACAUGUGCUUUCAUAUGAUCACAAUCUUUUACCUCCGGUUGAUUUUAUAGUCUGCUUGCUUCACCGACAUCUAAAAACUUCUGUUUUUCCCAUUUGCAGAUGAUACUUUGUAUUAUAAUUAUUACAGUAGGGGUGGUAGCAUCUGUCUUCGGAACAUAUUCAGCUGUAUCUAAGAUCGUGGAGAAUUUGAGCAGCUGAAGUUUUUUGGAGACACUGUAUUUCUGGAACAGUGAGGGACGCCAUGAUUCUGUAUUCUAGUUUUGUGAGAGUAUUAUAUAAUCUCAUGGUGUUCGUUUGCAAUUUUGAGUUACAUCUAAAUAAGUUAUCCCUCCACCCCCCACCCCCUAUUUUCUGUAAUACAUUUCGAUAUUCACGAUGAGUACCAUCAUACAUCCCAGAUCUCCAACACAUCCCUCAUUAUUUAGAGAUUUCAAAGAACACGUCCAUAAAUUCAGUUGCAAAAUUCAUUAGCUCCUCAGCUGACUGUGCAUAUGGCUCAUAUUUAGACUUUGGAUUUCCCAUGUCUGCAAAACAAUGUACUACCAAACUAUAGGUAUUUGAGCAAAUCAGGAUGAUCUAGAGGAGGCUUGAAAUAGUACAUAUACUAAAGGCAAACAUUAACACCUACACUAAUCACUCCUACUGUCCUACAGUUACAAUUCAAUCAAUCAAUCACCAAUUAAUCAUGAUUCAAUGCAUUUAAAGAUGAUUACAUAAAACUUGUAGAGACUAGAGACUUAUCUUCAGCUCUGUUUUGCUCUGUUGACACUUGACACAGUCUUUCCCUCUCUUCAUUCUCUCAUCUUUUCAAAAGGUUAACCUUGAUGGCAUCAAGUAUCAACUUCAUAUGGAACCAUCUCUUUCCCGCCACCCUCCACCACCAUUUGGAGCAGAAUCUUCUCUCUCUGCGUUUCCUAUUUCCUCAGUUUCUCGUUGUUUGCUUUUCCCAGAGUCCUUGGAAUCUCCAUAAAGCCAAAAGUGCAGAAGAAUCAAAAUCAUUAAACAGAGAGAAAAAAGGUUCACUACUUUUUCAUUCUUGGGUUCUCAUUCUCUCUCUUUCUGAUUCUUUCUUACGUUCAGCUCAAUUCUUUGAAUCUCUGUGACAUCACAUACUGGUUGGUUUCCGAGAAAACCAAACAGAGUGUGACAGAGAAUGUAUUCCGGAGUUUAUUCAGGUUUCAAAAUCUGGCUUGAUUUUCGCGGAACCCAAGCAUAGUGUUAUUACAUGCAUGGACCUUUUGAAACCUUCAAACUUUCUCCGCUAGUAAUUCUGCUAAACCCAUGUUUCAGUGACUGUUUGGUCUUAUCUUUCAUGGUAUGCAUUUUUCACGUAUUUGGUCUGUUUUUUAUUCUUUUCUUUGUGUGAUUUUAGUCUGAGCUGUUAGUACCAUAUAAGCUUAUAUAUAAUUAGUUGGCAAUUUAUAUAUUUUUUCUGUUUUUGCUACAAUUUUGGGACAUGUUUCUUCCAUAUACGAAACAAUGUGUUGUGUUUAUAAGCUAACUUUGUUUUCAAGUCUGAUAAUUGACCCUUUAUAUCUGAAGGAAGAUGUGUAUAAAUCUUAAGAAAGCUGUGAUUCGUUUCUACGUGUGUUUUGCAUUAGGAUAAGUAUUUUAGAGGAAGAUUUGAAUAAGGAGAUGAAGAACUCGGUGUCAGAUCACUGCUUUUACAUUGACAGUGAAGGAGAUGAUGAUGAGGAGAAGGAAAACAGAAGCGUAGAAGAUGGGAAUGAGUCUGAUUUCUCGGGUUGGGAAGCCGAGCAGCGCCAGGAGCAGCAGUUUCAGCCAAGUUCUUACAAUACACAAUGGCCUCAGAGUUACAGGUUCUCAAUCUCUCUCUCUGUUGUUUUGUGUGUUUAGCUCUCUGAAACCUUUUUGCUGAUUCUCUAUUUAUCCAUGACUUUUCAGUAUUACCCUGCAUUUUACCAUAUUGGAAUAUUGUCAGAUAAGUUUUGUAGGGAAAAGAUGCCAACUUUCUAUGGUAUUUUUGUUUCUUUGAAUAUGAUGAUGAUGAUGAAAAUCUUACCAAAUUAUAGUAAUCACUAUAUUGCAUAAGGGUAUUAGUGCCAAAAUGACAAAUUUUGCUAAAAUUUCAGUUGGCAUCACUAAGCUUUGUGGAGCUACUUCAUUGAUUGGCUGGCUUUGACAUAUUUGAUGAUGUUGAUAAUUGAGGCUAGAAGUAAAAACAGAAACUGUAGUUUUGUACUAGGGGAGGGAAAAGUUUUCUUGAUGAAAAAGGGAGCAACUGACAAGCACUUUUUCUUUGGUAAAUUCUUUUAUAUAGGGAAAGCGAGAUCUGUGACUUGUUGCUUUAGUACAUUGAUCAAUUGCUAUUGGAUAUCCUGAAUGAGAAUCUGUUCUUUCAGCUCAAAAUGCUUACAGUUUCUUGAUCAAUGUUUCAGGCAAUCUAUUGACAUGUAUAGUAGUGUACCAUCCCCUAGCAUUGGGAUUCUAGGCACUCCACUAUCAAAAUUAGGAGACUCAUUUCUUUCCUCAUCGUAUCUCUCCUCAUCACUAACGAGAAGGCAGACUCCUGAGACAUUACCAUUUUUGGCAAAACCUCCGGUACCUACUCUUGGUGAGCAACAACAUGAGAGACCAAGUUCUCAAUCUGUACACUCACAAAUUCCUUCAAGGAGGUCUUCAAUAAGAAAAGAUGAUAGACCGAGGAUUGACCAUCAUCCAAUGUCUAGCCAGAGCUCAUUCGCACAAGCUGUGCUUAAUGGUAAGUAUGGAGCAUGUAUUAGUUAUUCCUCACAUUUACUGCAACAAUUCAUUUGUUCACAAAACUUCUUCACUCUCCUUCAUGCACAUCUAACAGUUUCUUGGUAGUCAAUCAAAUCUUUUUCUAUUAUGUAGAUAAAGUUUAAAAUUCUUUCUGGGAAUCUAGAUUACUUCUUACAUAAUCAUACACAUUACAGUAACACACAAACCCAAAACAUGGACCUUGCAACUAUAUACAGCAACACUAAGAACUAGCAACCACUGGAUAGCAACAAAACUUUCUGUAUACUUUACUCACCAAACUGAAUUAUUUGAGCUUGAUCUGAUGCUAGUGUCCAUAUACAAGACCUGCAGGUUGAUGCAUCCCAAUUAGCUCAUGCAUGCAUACUCCAAGCUCACACAUUAGUAUGUUGUAUAAAAUAUAACCACAAAACUUAUUCAAAUCUGGAAAACAGAUUACUUUACACUUCAUACAGAUGAAUAUUGUAAUUUUUGUGUAGUGCAGAAAUAGCUCAUUGCUUUGUCCAUAUCCUUUAUUAUUUAGUUUGAGUUUUGUGGUGGCUUAAAUCGUAGCACAAGGUGCACAUGGAAAGAUUUAACUUGGAGCCAACUUGCAUGGGUGCCAAUUAACUUGUCUGUCCUUUGCCAAAUAGCUGUUUAAACUUUACGACUUAAAAGUUACCCUCAUUUGAUCAGGAUUCGCUCAUAGAUUCUAUUGAUUCAGGUAUCAAUGUUCUUUGUGGCGUGGGAAUUCUAUCGACACCAUAUGCAGUCAAAGAAGGAGGAUGGAUUGGGCUCUCCAUUUUGUUUAUUUUUGCAGUGCUGUCGUUCUACACUGGAUUGCUUCUGCGUUACUGCUUGGAUAGUCAACCUGAGCUUGAGACUUACCCGGAUAUUGGCCAGGCUGCAUUUGGUACCCCAGGUCGUAUUGCCAUAUCGGUAAGCUUGCUUAUAGUAUGCAUUACUGCACAAGUCUUUUGUAGCUUGCAGAUCAAUGUGCAUUUACUGGAUGUGUUACUUUCUCAGACUGUACAUCUGAAGUUCCAAACUUUAUAUAUUUAACCAAAUACAGUUUAAUAUUUCACUUAUUUCAUUGUCUAAUUUAAGUUCUCUUUUUAUGCCUGCAGAUAGUACUGUAUGUGGAAUUAUAUGUAAGUAGAGCUGGCUUGACUGAGUGAGUAUGGUUAUUCUGUCUUGGUGCUUAGUUACCGCAGUUUCCAAUUUGUCUGUAGAAAGAAUCCCCUAUUCACCUCAUUCGAUUCUCAAUUUACAAAUUUUAUGAUUUUGAAUACAAAUCAUCUUUUAAACACAGAGUCUGUGUUCACCUUUAGUUCACAUAGGUCACCUGUUAUGAAUUUUUAUGUACUUACAGGUUUCUUGCAUAGACUAUAUAAUUAUGGAGGGUGACAACUUGUCCUCACUAUUCCCAAAUACACACCUGAACUUGGGUGGAUUUGAGUUAAAUGCACACGUUCUGUUUGCGAUUUUCACCACCCUUGCUGUUCUACCUACUGUUUGGCUUCGAGACCUCAGU